rnacentral:rRNA from 1 species
UCUGCUCAGGACGAACGCUGGCGGCGUGCCUAAUACAUGCAAGUCGAGCGGACUUAAAAAGCUUGCUUUUUAAGUUAGCGGCGGACGGGUGAGUAACACGUGGGCAACCUGCCUGUAAGACUGGGAUAACUUCGGGAAACCGGAGCUAAUACCGGAUAAUCCUUUCCUACUCAUGUAGGAAAGCUGAAAGACGGUUUACGCUGUCACUUACAGAUGGGCCCGCGGCGCAUUAGCUAGUUGGUGAGGUAACGGCUCACCAAGGCGACGAUGCGUAGCCGACCUGAGAGGGUGAUCGGCCACACUGGGACUGAGACACGGCCCAGACUCCUACGGGAGGCAGCAGUAGGGAAUCUUCCGCAAUGGACGAAAGUCUGACGGAGCAACGCCGCGUGAGUGAUGAAGGUUUUCGGAUCGUAAAACUCUGUUGUUAGGGAAGAACAAGUACGAGAGUAACUGCUCGUACCUUGACGGUACCUAACCAGAAAGCCACGGCUAACUACGUGCCAGCAGCCGCGGUAAUACGUAGGUGGCAAGCGUUGUCCGGAAUUAUUGGGCGUAAAGCGCGCGCAGGCGGUCCUUUAAGUCUGAUGUGAAAGCCCACGGCUCAACCGUGGAGGGUCAUUGGAAACUGGGGGACUUGAGUGCAGAAGAGAAGAGUGGAAUUCCACGUGUAGCGGUGAAAUGCGUAGAGAUGUGGAGGAACACCAGUGGCGAAGGCGACUCUUUGGUCUGUAACUGACGCUGAGGCGCGAAAGCGUGGGGAGCAAACAGGAUUAGAUACCCUGGUAGUCCACGCCGUAAACGAUGAGUGCUAAGUGUUAGAGGGUUUCCGCCCUUUAGUGCUGCAGCAAACGCAUAAGC